rnacentral:rRNA from 1 species
UACAGAGGGGGCAAGCGUUGUUCGGAAUUACUGGGCGUAAAGGGCGCGUAGGCGGCCUGUUAAGUCGGACGUGAAAUCCCUCGGCUCAACCGGGGAACUGCGUCUGAUACUGGCGGGCUUGAAUUCGGGAGAGGGAUGUGGAAUUCCAGGUGUAGCGGUGAAAUGCGUUGAUAUCAUCAGGAACACCGGAGGCGAAGGCGGCUCACUGGGUCUCUACUGACGCUGAGGAACGAAAGCUAGGGGAGCAAACGGG